UACGGAGGGUGCGAGCGUUGUCCGGAAUCACUGGGCGUAAAGGGCGCGUAGGCGGCUGGGGAAGUCGGCGGUGAAAGCCCGGAGCUCAACUCCGGGUCGGCCGUCGAGACUCCUCGGCUCGAGCUCACUAGAGGCAGAUGGAAUUCCGGGUGUAGCGGUGGAAUGCGUAGAGAUCCGGAAGAACACCGGUGGCGAAGGCAGGUCUCUGGGCCAUUACUGACACUGAGAAGCGAAAGCAUGGGGAGCGAACAGG
rnacentral:rRNA from 1 species